rnacentral:lncRNA from 10 species
GUCCUGGCGAGGAAGGAAGGAGGGCGCGGGACGCCGGAGGGAGCUGCGCGGGGCCGAGGCUCCCACGCUUGCAAUCCCAAGGGACCCAGGGCCAAGGGCGCAGUAAGGGUGUGGGCUGGGAGGAGGGAGGGGUCGGGACGAGACGUGCCUGAGGGGAGGGAAGACACGGACUCCGGUUUAUUAAUAAACAUCUACGGUUUGUACGGCAUUUUAAGAUGUGCAGUGUGCUUUUGUAGGUACAUCGCCUUAUUUAACACAAAACCUCUCUGAGGUAGCUAUUACAUUUCACAGAAGGGUAAACGAGGCGUAGGUGGUUUGAGUGAUUUGCUUGAGAUCGUUCGGCUAAUAAAGCAAAAUUGGGACACAAGGCUUUUGUCAUUUUUAAAAAACAUAAUAUUGAAGGCCUGGUAUGUUCCGAACCCUGUGCUGAGGCUAGGAAUACAAAAAAGGACCAGGCCGGUGUGGCCUCUGGGCUAGAGGAGCAGGGGUACUCCGGAGGCUAGAGGGGAGAGAGGGGACGAUAGUGACUACAAAUUAAGUAAAUGUGAUCAUGACCGACAUAUGUUGGGCCCUUUGAAUUGCGUUAUCAACACAGUUCUAAGUGCUUACAUCCUUUAUCUCUUUUAAUCUUUUCAAUAACCUUACAAGUACAAUUUACAGGUGAAGAAACCGAGACAUGAAGGGCUUAAAUAAAUAUGCCUAAGGACAUAUUUAUGAGUCUAGAAUCCAUGCUCAUUACACUAUUCUGUAUUGUUCAAAUAUAAUGUAAUAAAACGGCCUUAUAGUCUGCUGCCACAGGAUGGAGACAUCUUAGGGAAUCUUUGGACUGACAGCUAAAAGAUAAGAGCGAACUAGUUUGGGGUAGUAGGAUAUUUAAAACAACAUUACGUGCAGAUCUGCUUGUGCAAAAACGGAACUGGAAAGAAGGCCUAAGUCUGGCUAAAGUUCAGAAAGUAAAGUGGAGAGUACUGUGAGAUGAGGUUGUAAGUAGAUGGAGGCAAGUGGUUUUUGUUGUUGUUUUUGUUUGUUUGUUCUAAAUAAUGAUAGGGUUUAGCUAUGUUGCCCAGGUCUGCGUUGAACUCCUGGGCUCAAGCGAUUCUCCUGCUGCAGCCGGCUGAGUAAUGGGAACUACAGGCGUGCAUCAUGGGACCUAGCUACAGGUUUUUUAUGCAGCCUUUGUAGGCAAGAUUAAGGAUGAGGCUUUGUCUUUAAAAAGCCAUCGAAGGAUUUGAGAGAGGAAAAUGAUAAGGCCAUAUAUGUUAUGUAUAUCCACUGCCAUGGUCAUACAACUUUGAAGUUCCAGAUGUUAUGUGUUCUGCCAUGCUGUCCUUUAGGUGUCUUCUGGUCCUUCACAAUAGCCAUGUUUAAUCCUGAGAUUUGAGUUGGAGUGUUUCGUUUGCAUCUUUUUUUCUUUCCGUCAAUUCCACCUGAGAAAUUGUAAAACUGCGAAUCUUUUCUUAAAAAUCAUUUUAACAUUUGCUGAUUGCUCACAGUUCAAUGAAUAUGUAUUGAACAUUUGCUUGGUACUAGAUUCUGGAGCUAUAAAGAAGAAAAGAGCAAUUCCCUGUACCUGAGAUGCUUAUAUAUUUUCCUGGGGAAAUAGACAUGCAAACAGAUAUUUAAAAUGCAGCAUGGGCUGGGUGCAGUGGCUCACACCUGUAAUCCUAGC